rnacentral:tRNA from 1 species
UCUCAGGUGGCUCAGUGGUAAAGAAUCUGCCUGCCAAGCAGGAAACACAGGUUCAACCCUGGGUCGAGAA